rnacentral:rRNA from 1 species
CCUACGGUGGCUGCAGUGGGGAAUAUUGGACAAUGGGCGAAAGCCUGAUCCAGCCAUGCCGCGUGUGUGAAGAAGGCCUUCGGGUUGUAAAGCACUUUCGGUGGGGAAGAAAGCCUUGGGGCUAAUACCCUCGAGGAAGGACAUCACCCACAGAAGAAGCACCGGCUAACUCCGUGCCAGCAGCCGCGGUAAUACGGAGGGUGCGAGCGUUAAUCGGAAUUACUGGGCGUAAAGCGCGCGUAGGCGGUCUGAUAAGCCGGUUGUGAAAGCCCCGGGCUCAACCUGGGAACGGCAUCCGGAACUGUCAGGCUAGAGUGCAGGAGAGGAAGGUAGAAUUCCCGGUGUAGCGGUGAAAUGCGUAGAGAUCGGGAGGAAUACCAGUGGCGAAGGCGGCCUUCUGGACUGACACUGACGCUGAGGUGCGAAAGCGUGGGUAGCAAACAGGAUUAGAUACCCCAGUAGUC